rnacentral:rRNA from 1 species
UGGGGAAUAUUGCGCAAUGGCCGCAAGGCUGACGCAGCGACGCCGCGUGUGGGAUGAAGGCUCUCGGGUUGUAAACCACUGUCAGGAGGGACGAAACAAAUGACGGUACCUCCAAAGGAAGCGCCGGCUAACUCCGUGCCAGCAGCCGCGGUAACACGGAGGGCGCGAGCGUUGUUCGGAUUUACUGGGCGUAAAGCGCGCGUAGGCGGUUUGGUAAGUCGUCUGUGAAAGCCCGGGGCUCAACUCCGGGACGCCAGGCGAUACUGCCUAACUAGAGCACGGUAGAGGCAAGUGGAAUUCCCGGUGUAGCGGUGGAAUGCGUAGAUAUCGGGAAGAACACCAGUGGCGAAGGCGGCUUGCUGGGCCGUUGCUGACGCUGAGGUGCGAAAGCGUGGGGAGCAAACAGGAUUAGAUACCCGUGUAGUCC